rnacentral:rRNA from 1 species
AUUAAACGCUGGCGGCAUGCCUUACACAUGCAAGUCGAACGGUAGCGCGGGGCAACCUGGCGACGAGUGGCGAACGGGUGAGUAAAGCAUCGGAACGUGCCCUGGAAUGGGGGAUAACGUAGCGAAAGUUACGCUAGUACCGCAUAUUCUGUGAGCAGGAAAGCAGGGGAUCGCAAGACCUUGCGUUCUGGGAGCGGCCGAUGUCGGAUUAGCUAGUUGGUGGGGUAAAAGCCUACCAAGGCGACGAUCCGUAGCGGGUCUGAGAGGAUGAUCCGCCACACUGGGACUGAGACACGGCCCAGGCUCCUACGGGAGGCAGCAGUGGGGGAAUUUUGGACAAUGGGCGGAAGCCUGAUCCAGCCAUGCCGCGUGAGUGAAGAAGGCCUCGG